ACUUUUUUAAGUCAUUAACCACCUCACAUAUCUCAUAAUCCCAAGACCUCAAGUCUAUAACCAGCUUUUUCCCAAAAUCUCCUCUAGACUCCAAGGAAGAAGAUGAACAAUGAAGCUAGGGGUGAAGAAUCAAGAUUUUUCCCCAAAUUCGUGGUUAAUCUUCUAUAAGGUUUAAGUUCUUAAGGUGAUCUUCUAUUGGUUCAAGCUUAGAUUGACUAUUCUCCUAACUUGUGGUGAGUCAUCAAGAUUCGAGAAAUCAUUAGUAGUUUCUUUCUAGUUAUUUUAUGGUUUGAAUUAUGUGAAAGGAUUGUGCCUCUAUUUUUUGUUCAAGGAUUGUAUUAGAUGGCUAUUUGAGACAAGUUAGACUUUCGCUUUCUCUUAUAAAAGACUUCGAUUUUAUGGAUAAAGUUUUAAAUUUUGCAUCAUUUCUUAUAUCUUAUGGUGUAGUAUGCUAAGGGCUUGUAUGAGACUCCUUCGAGUUCAAGUAAGUUAUGUUACAUCUAA